rnacentral:rRNA from 1 species
CGGGUGAGUAACGCGUAUCCAACCUUCCGUACACUCAGGGAUAGCCUUUCGAAAGAAAGAUUAAUACCUGAUGGUAUGAUGAGAUUGCAUGAUAGCAUCAUUAAAGAUUUAUCGGUGUACGAUGGGGAUGCGUUCCAUUAGGUAGUAGGCGGGGUAACGGCCCACCUAGCCAACGAUGGAUAGGGGUUCUGAGAGGAAGGUCCCCCACAUUGGAACUGAGACACGGUCCAAACUCCUACGGGAGGCAGCAGUGAGGAAUAUUGGUCAAUGGACGAGAGUCUGAACCAGCCAAGUAGCGUGAAGGAUGAAGGUCCUACGGAUUGUAAACUUCUUUUAUAAGGGAAUAAACCCUCCCACGUGUGGGAGCUUGUAUGUACCUUAUGAAUAAGCAUCGGCUAACUCCGUGCCAGCAGCCGCGGUAAUACGGAGGAUGCGAGCGUUAUCCGGAUUUAUUGGGUUUAAAGGGAGCGCAGACGGGUCGUUAAGUCAGCUGUGAAAGUUUGGGGCUCAACCUUAAAAUUGCAGUUGAUACUGGCGUCCUUGAGUGCGGUUGAGGUGUGCGGAAUUCGUGGUGUAGCGGUGAAAUGCUUAGAUAUCACGAAGAACUCCGAUUGCGAAGGCAGCACACUAAUCCGUAA